CUACGACCAUAUCACCUUAAAACUCCAGUUCUCAUACGAUCACAGAAGUUAAGUAAGGUUGAUUCUGUUCAGUAUUUAGAUGGGUGAUCUCUUGAAAAUAUCACGUGCGGUAAG